rnacentral:lncRNA from 1 species
GAUAUAGGACUUUUUAAUUAGUCAUUAUUAUUUUUUUUGGGGUUAAUUUCAUACAGAUUCCUGCAAAUAUGGUGACUUGUAAAUAUAUCUCUACAAAGUUCAACUUUUAUAUGUUGUCCCUGAAAAAGUCUUAAUGUUUUCAAUUAUGUCCCUAUGGUUUGUUAAGUGAAAUGACCUUUUUGUCAUUACAAAUAUUUAAUUAAGGAGAGAUAAAAAGGUCAAUUCACCUCAUUAACUAACUAAGGUUAAGUAUUUUAUCUAUGAUUAACUAAUUUUUUCUAAUUGAUCCUAACGACAGGGAUAUAUUUGAAAACAUCAGGACUUUUGAAAGGGCAACAUAUGAAAGUUGAAUUUUGUAGGAAUAUAUUUGCAAUCCACUAUGUUUGCAGGGGCCUGUAUGAAAUUAAUCUUUUUUUUUUAAAGAAGAAAUUUUGGAUAUUCUUCGUAAAAAU